ACGAUUCUCAUAUGUUCUCAUCUCAUGAUAAGUAAAAGAUUUCAAGUUCAGGAGUGGAUAUGCAACCAACAGAAACACUUUUGGCUUCUUCUUCUUCUUCUUGUAAUAUUAUUUUUGAUAAGGAAUUUAGAGACCUUGUUUUUUGGUACAUGUGUACUUGUUUUAUAUAUGUUGAAGUUGGAAAAUAUGCUUGUAAAUAUUUUGAUACAUUUACAAAUUUGCGUAUUAAUUAACUAUGUAGACAUUAGUUCUUUAUCAUGAUAUUAUUCCCAAAUUUAUUCAA